rnacentral:rRNA from 1 species
GGGGAAUAUUGGACAAUGGGCGCAAGCCUGAUGACGCAACGCCGCGUGGAGGAUGAAGGUCUUCGGAUUGUAAACUCCUGUUGCCCGGGACGAAAAGCUUCGACCUAACACGUCGAAGUCUGACGGUACCGGGUGAGGAAGCCCCGGCUAACUCUGUGCCAGCAGCCGCGGUAAUACAGAGGGGGCAAGCGUUGUUCGGAAUUACUGGGCGUAAAGGGCGCGUAGGCGGCCACCGCAAGUCGACUGUGAAAUCUCCGGGCUUAACCCGGAAAGGUCAGCCGAUACUGCGGGGCUAGAGUGCAGAAGGGGCAACUGGAAUUCUCGGUGUAGCGGUGAAAUGCGUAGAUAUCGAGAGGAACACCUGCGGCGAAGGCGGGUUGCUGGGCUGACACUGACGCUGAUGCGCGAAAGCUAGGGGAGCGAAC